rnacentral:rRNA from 1 species
UACGUAGGGUGCAAGCGUUGUCCGGAAUUAUUGGGCGUAAAGAGCUCGUAGGCGGUCUGUUGCGUCUGCUGUGAAAACCCGGGGCUUAACCCCUGGCUUGCAGUGGAUACGGACAGACUAGAGGUAGGUAGGGGAGAAUGGAGUUCCCGGUGUAGCGGUGAAAUGCGCAGAUAUCGGGAGGAACACCGGUGGCGAAGGCGGUUCUCUGGGCCUUACCUGACGCUGAGGAGCGAAAGCGUGGGGAGCGAACAGG